rnacentral:other from 1 species
AUUAACCUGAAAUGCGCGAUAACUCUUGUUAUUUUGAACCUACAGUUACUUUAAACGGGAUUCCUAUAUCGUCAUGCGGAUGUCAAGCCUCCGGUUCUAUUAGUUCCUUGUGCAGGGGAAGGCAGAAGUAUGAUUGCGGUUACCCACCUAGCGGUCGCUAGGAGUCAAAAUACAAGAACCGGCAUUUUGGGGCUUAA